CGAUGUGAUGGUGAUCUGUCACUCAUUGAUCACCAGGGUUUAUUAGGCUGCUCUAGCUGGCUAGGCUGGUGUCCACUACCUCCCUCACAGCUCCAUGUACAUCCCUCUCGAAGCUGUGCUCCCGGUCGAAGAGGACAACCUCCCUGAAUAGAGGAGGACCAGUCUUCAGUCAAGGGUAUAUGAGUAGCUGAGCUCCCCUGCUAGAACCUCAAAACAAGCUCAAGAUCUUGUAAGAAAUUUUACCAUUAAAAGAGGAAAAAAAAAAGAAAUCUUAAGAUGGAUGUUUAAUAAUCUUU
rnacentral:snRNA from 1 species